rnacentral:rRNA from 1 species
GACGAACGCUGGCGGCGUGCUUAACACAUGCAAGUCGAACGGAAAGGCCUCUUUCGGGGGGUACUCGAGUGGCGAACGGGUGAGUAACACGUGAGUAACCUGCCCUUGACUUUGGGAUAACUUCAGGAAACUGGGGCUAAUACCGGAUAGGAGCUCCUGCUGCAUGGUGGGGGUUGGAAAGUUUCGGCGGUUGGGGAUGGACUCGCGGCUUAUCAGCUUGUUGGUGGGGUAGUGGCUUACCAAGGCUUUGACGGGUAGCCGGCCUGAGAGGGUGACCGGCCACAUUGGGACUGAGAUACGGCCCAGACUCCUACGGGAGGCAGUAGUGGGGAAUAUUGCACAAUGGGUGGAAGCCUGAUGCAGCAACGCCGUGUGCGGGAUGACGGCCUUCGGGUUGUAAACCGCUUUCGCUCAUGACGAAGCUUUGUGUGACGGUAGUGGGGAAAGAAGCACCGGCUAACUACGU